rnacentral:tRNA from 1 species
GUGAUAGUUCAGUCAGUAGAGCCCGAGACUCUUAAUCUCAGGGUUGUGGAUUUGAGCCCCAUGUUGGACA